rnacentral:rRNA from 1 species
AUCGAGUGGCGAACGGGUGAGUAACGCGUGAGGAACCUGCCUCAAAGAGGGGGACAACAGUUGGAAACGACUGCUAAUACCGCAUAAGCCCACGACCCGGCAUCGGGAAGAGGGAAAAGGAGCAAUCCGCUUUGAGAUGGCCUCGCGUCCGAUUAGCUAGUUGGUGAGGUAACGGCCCACCAAGGCGACGAUCGGUAGCCGGACUGAGAGGUUGAACGGCCACAUUGGGACUGAGACACGGCCCAGACUCCUACGGGAGGCAGCAGUGGGGAAUAUUGCACAAUGGGGGAAACCCUGAUGCAGCGACGCCGCGUGGAGGAAGAAGGUCUUCGGAUUGUAAACUCCUGUUGUUGAGGAAGAUAAUGACGGUACUCAACAAGGAAGUGACGGCUAACUACGUGCCAGCAGCCGCGGUAAAACGUAGGUCACAAGCGUUGUCCGGAAUUACUGGGUGUAAAGGGAGCGCAGGCGGGCGAUCAAGUUGGAAGUGAAAUCCAUGGGCUCAACCCAUGAACUGCUUUCAAAACUGGUCGUCUUGAGUAGUGCAGAGGUAGGCGGAAUUCCCGGUGUAGCGGUGGAAUGCGUAGAUAUCGGGAGGAACACCAGUGGCGAAGGCGGCCUACUGGGCACCAACUGACGCUGAGGCUCGAAAGUGUGGGUAGCAAACAGGAUUAGAUACCCUGGUAGUCCACACCGUAAACGAUGAUUACUAGGUGUUGGGAGAUUGACCCUCUCAGUGCCGCAGUUAACACAAUAAGUAAUCCACCUGGGGAGUACGACCGCAAGGUUGAAACUCAAAGGAAUUGACGGGGGCCCGCACAAGCAGUGGA